GACGAACGCUGGCGGCGUGCUUAACACAUGCAAGUCGAACGGUGAAGCGCCUUCCUUUUUGGUGGGUGUGGAUGAGUGGCGAACGGGUGAGUAACACGUGAGUAACCUGCCCCCUUCUUCUGGAUAACCGCAUGAAAGUGUGGCUAAUACGGGAUAUUCUGGGUCUGUCGCAUGAUGGGUCUGGGAAAGAUAUUGUUUCGGUGGGGGAUGGGCUCGCGGCCUAUCAGCUUGUUGGUGGGGUGAUGGCCUACCAAGGCGGUGACGGGUAGCCGGCCUGGGAGGGUGGACGGUCACACUGGGACGGAGACACGGCCCAGACUCCUACGGGAGGCAGCAGUGGGGAAUAUUGCACAAUGGGCGCAAGCCUGAUGCAGCGACGCCGCGUGAGGGAUGGAGGCCUUCGGGUUGUGAACCUCUUUCGCCAGUGAAGCAGGCCUGCCUCGUUUGUGGGUGGGUUGACGGUAGCUGGAUAAGAAGCGCCGGCUAACUACGUG
rnacentral:rRNA from 1 species